rnacentral:lncRNA from 1 species
CGUUUUCUUCCCCUUUGGGGAACCUUCGUCUCCCCGAAGGGGAACACCCCUUCGUUUUCUUCCCCGAAGGGGAACCCAAAGUCUCCGUCCCCUUUAGGGGAAGAAGGGGAACACCCCCUUUGGUUCCCCUAAAGGGGACGAACACUAAAGGGGACAGACAACCCCUUUGGAACCCCAAAGGUUGUUCCCCUAAAGGGGAUGGGAACCAAAGGGUUGUCUUCCCCUAAAGGGGAACAAACUUUGGAAACCCUUUAGGGGAUGAACUAAAGGUAAUGACAACCCUUUGGGGGGGGGGAACCUUUGGUUCUUUGGGUUCCCCCUUCGGGGUUGUCUUCAUCCCCUUUAGUGCUCUUCUUCUUCCCCUUUAGGGGAAGAACCCCAAAGUCUUCGUCCCCUUUAGGGGAACCAAAGGGGAACACUAAAGUGUUCUUCUUCCCCUUUAGGGGAACUAAAGGGGAACCCCCUUUAGUUCCCCUAAAGAAGAUGAACCAAAGGGGUUCCCCUUCGGGGAUGACGUAGGGGUGUUUCCCUUCUUCCCCUAAAGGGGACGGAGACUUUGGGUUCCCCUUCGGGGAAGAAAACGAAGGGGAAC